rnacentral:lncRNA from 1 species
CCACCCUCUCUACCCUCACGGUUAGUUUCUGGGAACUCAUGGGCAACUUCCUAGUGGGUCACCUAUCUUAGGAUUGCUCUAGCCCCAACUCGCUUAACUUCGGAGUUCUCAUGACUCCGAAGCUAGUGAACUCCCAAAAGGCCUCGUGCUAGAUGGAGGUGGGCAUUUACAUAUAAGGCACAUCACCCAUCUCCUUUGGUUGAUGUGGGAUGUUACAAUUUACCCCCCUUAAUUGUCACAUCUCGAGAUCGGCUCUGCCGGAACACAAUAUUGUCUGUUUUGGGCCACCUUCUCUGCCCUCACGGUUUUGUUUUUGGGAACUCACGGCAACUUCCCAAUGCGUCACCCAUCCUGGGAUUGCUCUAGCCCCAA